rnacentral:lncRNA from 1 species
UCGGGAAGGCGGAGCUCUAGAAAGAUGCCCGAGUUUCUGACUGGGAUUCCCGAGUUGUAUGACCAUUCACCACUAUUUUUCCCAGAUUUUCGAGUUCCCAGUUGUUUCUGAACGCGGCAGAUGUACAUACUGUAACCGCGAGUCAUUUUCUGAUUGCGUCACCAGAAAGCGUCACAUUCUUCUCCAAAACCGUUUGGUUUAUUGUGUUUAUUUAGGGUGGAUGUGCCCCGGCUGCCAUCGACCCUCAAAAUGACCAAAUUACAGUUUCUAAAUGUCUUUUUGACCGAACGGUUGAUGUUAGCCGCUCAAGAGAUAUAUAAGCAAGUGGAAGAGACAAUAUUAGAAUACCAGGAAGAAAUAAUCCAGGGAAAGAGAGAGAAUGAUCAAUUGAGACGCAAGUUUGGGAUUCCAUGGCCAGACCGAGAGCCCUUUGCUCCUGUAGAAUCUGAGGAGGAGGGAGGCAUUGGGCAAAAGCAGGAACCAGAGCCAAGGCAGACUAUGGAGAAACAGGAGGGAAGGACCAGUAUGGAGGAAAAUCAGUUUAGAGGACCGGACUCUCAGUCUAGAUUGACUCCUUCCAAUGGAAACGAUGACUAUGAUCAGAACCCACCUCAACACGCCUCAGUCAGUCAGUUCCAAACUCACACCGGGGAGAGUAGAGGGGGAGGCUCUCUGUCCAGCUCAACAUCCAAACCAAUCAAAACAGAGACUGAAGGACUGGGUGUUUGUCCAUUUGAUCCGUCAAGUGACCCCAAUACAUUCUCUUCGUCAGUGAACCUUGACCUUUCGGCAGCACAGAGUGAGAACAGUUGGUGGAGGUUUGGAUGAUUGUCGUCCCUCAAAACAUUAGAUGUCAAGAAGAUGUUAGAAGGUGAAAAGUUGGGUGAAUGAGCGAAGCUGGUGAUUCAACGGAAAGAAGCAACCCUCCAAAGCGGGAGAGCUUCAUAACUGCUGAAAAUCAGCUAAGUCGGGACUAUGAAAACACGGAUGACUUCUGGUGCUGUGCGGUGUGGAGGGAAGGCCAGGAGGAGGUGGAGGGUGUGGUUCCCAGUACCUGGGUGGUGGGCAGGAAGGUCCUGUGGCCUCCAGCCAAUGGGAGGAAAGCUCUGAAAGAGAGACACAAGCCAGGAGCCAAUUGGAUGACAUAUGACCUUGUUAAGGUCAAACUAUUCUCAGAAUCUCUGGAAGAGUGUGAAGGCUACAGUAGGUCCAGUGAUGAGCUCACUGACAACGGAGACAGUGAGCCCAACACACAGAAGAAGAAGAGGAGGAGGAGGAAGAGGAGGACGGGUGAGGGGCACGUUACCGGCACUGAUCAGAUACCUCAAGGAGGACCCAGUGGAGAUGGAAGGAUACACACAGGUGUGUCAGGAUCAUCAAACUCUCCUCCUCUGAAGAGGAGAGUGAUGACGAAAUCGGGUACCCUGGAGGAGAGUUCUGGAGCUCUAGAAGCAGAACCUCAGCUGGACCCGUCUGAGCUCAGAGGCCUUGACGACUCACUCAACAAGGAGAGCUACCUCAUAGAGGGACCACACUCUUCUGACGCAUGGGAUGCUGUUUUUCCAACCUCUCAGUCCAGAGAGGGAACAUUCCUAAGUGGACAGGAUGUGAUGGGAAACCUGCUGAAUUCAACCCAAAGUUUUCCUCUUCCAAAUGACCAGUUCCAGGAGCAGGUCCUGGGUCUGCUGGUGGACAUCAGACAGUCCGUGUGGGAUCUAGGAGGAAGGGUGGGAGUUCUAGAACACUGGGGUGGUUCUAGGAGUUCUGGAACAGAUUUCCAUUUUGACGUGUGCAGAACCCACGAGGACAUGGCCAACCUGGAGAAAGUUCUAGAGCCUCCGGAGGUAGCUGCCCAGAUGAAACAGUUCCUGAGCAGGAUCGGUGGGAACACUUUGAGGGAAAAUGUCACCAGGGUGAUGGAGAGGCUGAUGACCAACGAACUGAUGAGUACCUUCAACAUGAAAGGAAGGAAAGGAACCAAGAAGAGCUUUCUCACACACUCCCUUAGCAAAAUCAUUAUUGACAGCAUCAUGAUCACCCACCCGUACGCCACAGAGUCUGCUGUGAUGCACCUGAUGGCCAACGUACUGAAGUACGCCCCAGACCGACGCGGAGGAGGAGGCAGACCCCCCAGACAGUCACCCCAGGUCCCCCAUACCCAGAGACAGCAACACAUCCAACAACACAUCAACAUCAAACAGGAGCAAGACUAUUAA